GAUGAACGCUGGCGGCGUGCCUAACACAUGCAAGUCGAACGGACGGACGGGGCUGUUUCUUCUCUUAUGUGAGCGGCGGGAGGGUGAGACACACGUGUAUGUCACCCCUAUUUUUCUGGGAUAUCUGCGUGAGACAGGGUAUUAUAUACGAUAUGUUUUUUAUCCCCCGGGUGCGGUGGGUAGGAACGGUUUUGGUGUGACUUGGGUGUGCUUCCGCGCUGCAUUCGCUAGUUUGUAGGGUAGCGGCUUACCAAGGCUACGAUGCAUAGCCGACCUGAGAGGGUGAGCGGCCACACUGGAACUGAGACACGGUCCAGACUCCUACGGGAGGCAGCAGUAGGGAAUCUUGGGCAAUGGGCGAAAGCCUGACGGAGCAACGCCGCGUGAGUGAGGAAGGUCUUCGGAUCGUAAAGCGCUGUUAUUAGGGAAGAACAUAUGUGUAAGUAACUGUGGACAUCUUGACGGUACCGAAUCAAAAAGCCCCGGCUAACUACGUG
rnacentral:rRNA from 1 species